UGGCUGUAGCUACAUACAAGAGAUUCAAUCAGAGAAGUUUUACUGGCCGCUUGUUGUUUAUUUUGAUCAGCAAAUCUGCUUACCGAGCUUCUCACAUAU